AUUGAACGCUGGCGGCAGGCCUAACACAUGCAAGUCGAGCGGAGCGGCGGACGGGUGAGCAAUGCCUAGGAAUCUGCCUGGUAGUGGGGGCUAACGUCCGGAAACGGGCGCUAAUACCGCAUAAUAUCAGAUGAGCCUAGGUCGGAUUAGCUAGUUGGUGGGGUAAAGGCCUAACAGGGCGACGAUCCGUAACUGGUCUGCGAGGAGGAUCAGUCACACUGGAACGGAGACACGGUCCGGACUCCUACGGGAGCCAGCAGUGGGAAAUAUUGGACAAGUGGCGAAAUCCUGGACCAGCCAUGCCGCGUGGGUGAAGAAGGUCUUCGGAUUGUAAAGCACUUGAAGUUGGGAGGCGUUACCAACAGAAUAAGCACCGGCUAACUUCGUGCCAGCAGCCGCGGUAAUAC
rnacentral:rRNA from 1 species